ACGGGUGAGUAACGCGUAUGCAACCUACCUAUCAGGAGGGGAAUAACCCGGCGAAAGUCGGACUAAUACCGCAUAAAACAGGGGCACCGCAUGGUGAUAUUUGUUAAAGAAUUCGCUGAUAGAUGGGCAUGCGUUCCAUUAGGUAGUUGGUGAGGUAACGGCUCACCAAGCCGACGAUGGAUAGGGGAACUGAGAGGUUGGUCCCCCACACUGGUACUGAGACACGGACCAGACUCCUACGGGAGGCAGCAGUGAGGAAUAUUGGUCAAUGGGCGGGAGCCUGAACCAGCCAAGUCGCGUGAAAAGGAAGAAGGAUCUAUGGUUCGUAAACUUCUUUUGCAGGGGAAUAAAGUGCAGGACGUGUCCUGUUUUGUAUGUACCCUGAGAAUAAGGAUCGGCUAACUCCGUGCCAGCAGCUGC
rnacentral:rRNA from 1 species